AUUGAACGCUGGCGGAAUGCUUUACACAUGCAAGUCGAACGAUGAAGUCUAGCUUGCUAGACGGAUUAGUGGCGAACGGGUGAGUAAUAUAUCGGAACGUAUCCAUUAAUGGGGGAUAACUAGUCGAAAGAUUGGCUAAUACCGCAUACGUCCUACGGGAGAAUGCUAGGGACCUUCGGGCCUGGCGUUAAUGGAGCGGCCGAUAUCUGAUUAGCUAGUUGGUGAGGUAAAGGCUCACCAAGGCGACGAUCAGUAGCUGGUCUGAGAGGACGACCAGCCACACUGGAACUGAGACACGGUCCAGACUCCUACGGGAGGCAGCAGUGGGGAAUUUUGGACAAUGGGCGCAAGCCUGAUCCAGCCAUUCCGCGUGAGUGAAGAAGGCCUUCGGGUUGUAAAGCUCCUUCGCAAGGGAAGAAAACUUACCCUCUAACAUAGGGUGAGGAUGACGGUACCUUGAUAAGAAGCACCGGCUAACUACGUGCCAGCCGCCGCAGUAAAAC
rnacentral:rRNA from 1 species